AUUCAUGAACAGAAAGAACAAGAUGAUGUUAUCAGGGACAAAUUGUUGUAAAGACUCACAUAUAUGGCCUGUCUACUGCUUCUAACAUCAAGCAGGGAGAGUGCAGCACCAGGGGAAUGGAUGCCACAAUAAGUGGUCAAGCAGCUUUGGAUUCCUUGGAGGGGAUUUAGAUUCUGCAACUGCACACUGGCUGGUGGCAAAAUAUGAAAGGUGAAUUGCAGGGUCAGCAGAGUACAUCACCUAGUCAGAAGGAGGAAGAAAAGCAUACAGAGAGAGGAUGUUCAGAUUCGAGCAGUUUUACUUGUACUUUUUCUUGAAUUUUCAAUUGUAAAGUUAUCUAAAUGUUGUUGGUUAAUCCAGUAAUCAAGCCGCCAUGCUUUAUGUGUUCCUUUCAUGUGAAAACAAAUGUGAAGGCUGCUUCUGUUUCACUGUCACAUAUAGCACAAAGUGCAUAACUCUUAAUUUUGUCUGAUUUUGCCUAACGUUACUGAAUCUUAUGUCCAUCUGGCCAUGAUUUUUGCAGACUGCCCCUGAUUUUGCCUCGUAUUUUUACUCUGUCCACCCCAUGUAAAACUUUCAGUUUUCUAGUAAAUCACUGAAGAUUACAGUUAGACACUAAUGCCGUAUAUUAGAGUUUCACAGUUUAUACCUCUUUACCCAGAAAAUGCAUGCUAAUACAAAACCUGUUACAUUAAUAAAUGGACAUAGUGCACUCAGCCCAUGUGCAGUAUGAAAGUGAUAUUUACUUACUUCCCCUCCAAAAAAAACAGAGGAAAGAGACCCAGCCUACUAAUACAGAAAGUGAAGUAAAGAUCCAACUUUACAUCAUCAAAGCAGCAAGCGUGAAGAUGCAAGCUCAGGAAAUCUCCUUAAGUCUGUGGAAAGCCGAUGUUUGAGAGCAGGAAAAUACAG